rnacentral:rRNA from 1 species
UAGGGAAUAUUGGGCAAUGGAGGGAACUCUGACCCAGCCAUGCCGCGUGCAGGAUGAAGGCGUUAUGCGUUGUAAACUGCUUUUAUAUAGGAAGAAAUAGUCCUUGCGAGGAAAGUUGACGGUACUAUAUGAAUAAGCACCGGCUAACUCCGUGCCAGCAGCCGCGGUAAUACGGAGGGUGCAAGCGUUGUCCGGAUUUAUUGGGUUUAAAGGGUGCGUAGGCGGUUUAUUAAGUCAGUGGUGAAAGACGGUCGCUCAACGAUUGCAGUGCCAUUGAUACUGGUAGACUUGAGUAUGAUUGAGGUAGCUGGAAUGGAUAGUGUAGCGGUGAAAUGCAUAGAUAUUAUCCAGAACACCAAUUGCGUAGGCAAGUUACUAAGUCAUAACUGACGCUGAGGCACGAAAGUGUGGGUAUCAAACAGGAUUAGAUACCCUUGUAGUCCCUGAGCGGGC